UGGCGGACGGGUGAGUAACGCGUGAGCAACCUGCCUCUGUGAGGGGAAUAACGUCUGGAAACGGACGCUAAUACCGCAUAAAGCAUCGAGACCGCAUGAUCAUGAUGUCAAAGAUUUAUCGCACAGAGAUGGGCUCGCGUCUGAUUAGAUAGUUGGUGAGGUAACGGCUCACCAAGUCAACGAUCAGUAGCCGGACUGAGAGGUUGAACGGCCACAUUGGAACUGAGAUACGGUCCAGACUCCUACGGGAGGCAGCAGUGGGGAAUAUUGGGCAAUGGACGGAAGUCUGACCCAGCGACGCCGCGUGAAGGAAGAAGGCCUUCGGGUUGUAAACUUUAGUUAUCAGGGAAGAAAGAAAUGACGGUACCUGAAGAGAAAGCCACGGCUAACUACGUGCCAGCAGCCGCGGUAAUACGUAGGUGGCGAGCGUUAUCCGGAAUUACUGGGCGUAAAGGGUGUGUAGGCGGGACUGCAAGUCAGAUGUGAAAAUUACGGGCUCAACUCGUAAAGUGCAUUUGAAACUGUAGUUCUUGAGAGCCGGA
rnacentral:rRNA from 1 species